GCUUACUUUUACAGCAUGUAUAAUAAUUUGAGCAAUAUAGAGAUUAUUAGCACAGCCCCUGCAUGAGGAUGACAUGCACAUUUAUGAAAUGUUAUAUAUUUUU